ACAGGGAUUGCCCUAGUAACGGCGAGUGAAGCGGCAACAGCUCAAAUUUGAAAUCUGGCUCUUUUAGGGUCCGAGUUGUAAUUUGCAGAGGGCGCUUUGGCUUAGGCAGCGGUCCAAGUUCCUUGGAACAGGACGUCACAGAGGGUGAGAAUCCCGUACGUGGUCGCUGGCCUUUGCCGUGUAAAGCCCCUUCGACGAGUCGAGUUGUUUGGGAAUGCAGCUCUAAAUGGGAGGUAAAUUUCUUCUAAAGCUAAAUAUUGGCCAGAGACCGAUAGCGCACAAGUAGAGUGAUCGAAAGAUGAAAAGCACUUUGGAAAGAGAGUCAAAAAGCACGUGAAAUUGUUGAAAGGGAAGCGCUUGCAGCCAGACUUGCCUGUAGUUGCUCAUCCGGGCUUUUGCCCGGUGCACUCUUCUGCGGGCAGGCCAGCAUCAGUUUGGGCGGUUGGAUAAAGGUCUCUGUCACGUACCUCUCUUCGGGGAGGCCUUAUAGGGGAGACGACAUACAACCAGCCUGGACUGAGGUCCGCGCAUCUGCUAGGAUGCUGGCGUAAUGGCUGUAAGCGGCCCGUCUUGAAACACGGACCAAGGAGUCUAACAUCUAUGCGAGUGUUUGGGUGUCAAGCCCGAGCGCGUAAUGAAAGUGAACGGAGGUGAGAACCCUUUGGGUGCAUCAUCGACCGAUCCUGAUGUCUUCGGAAGGAUUUGAGUAAGAGCAUGGCUGUUGGGACCCGAAAGAUGGUGAACUAUGCUUGAAUAGGGUGAAGCCAGAGGAAACUCUGGUGGAGGCUCGCAGCGGUUCUGACGUGCAAAUCGAUCGUCAAAUUUGGGCAUAGGGGCGAAAGACUAAUCGAACUAUCUAGUAGCUGGUUCCUGCCGAAGUUUCCCUCAGGAUAGCAGUAACGUAUUCAGUUUUAUGAGGUAAAGCGAAUGAUUAGAGGCCUGGGGGUUGAAACAACCUUCACCUAUUCUCAAACUUUAAAUAUGUAAGAAGUCCUUGUUACUUAAUUGAACGUGGACAUUUGAAUGAACGUUAUUAGUGGGCCAUUUUUGGUAAGCAGAACUGGCGAUGCGGGAUGAACCGAACGAGGGGUUACGGUGCCAGAAUAUACGCUCAUCAGACACCACAAAAGGUGUUAAUUCAUCUAGACAGCAGGACGGUGGCCAUGGAAGUCGGAAUCCGCUAAGGAGUGUGUAACAACUCACCUGCCGAAUGAAUUAGCCCUGAAAAUGGAUGGCGCUCAAGCGUGUUACCUAUACCCCUCCGCCGGGGCAAAAUUUACGCCCCGGCGAGUAGGCAGGCGUGGAGGUCCGUGACGAAGCCUUAG
rnacentral:rRNA from 1 species